rnacentral:rRNA from 1 species
AUUGAACGCUGGCGGCAGGCCUAACACAUGCAAGUCGAGCGGAGCGGCGGACGGGUGAGUAAUGCCUAGGAAGAUGCCUGGCCGUGGGGGAUAACGUCCGGAAACGGGCGCUAAUCACGCAUACUAUCGGCUGAGCCUAGGUCGGAUUAGCUAGUUGGUGGGGUAAAGGCUUACAAAGGCGACGAUCCGUAGCUGGUCUGAGAGGAUGAUCAGUCACACUGGAACUGAGACACGGUCCAGACUCCUACGGGAGGCAGCAGUGGGGAAUAUUGGACAAUGGGCGAAAGCCUGAUGCAGCCAUGCCGCGUGUGUGAAGAAGGUCUUCGGAUGGUAAAGCACUUUAAGUUGGGAGGCGUUACCAACAGAAUAAGCACCGGCUAACUUCGUGCCAGCAGCCGCGGUAAUUC